rnacentral:rRNA from 1 species
CUUGACUAACCAUAGGAGGUCCAGCCUGCCCAGUGACUCUGUUCAACGGCCGCGGUAUCCUAACCGUGCGAAGGUAGCGUAAUCACUUGUUCUUUAAAUGAGGACUAGUAUGAAUGGCACCACGAGGGCUACACUGUCUCCUUUUUUUAAUCAGUGAACUUAAUCUUCCCGUGAAGAAGCGGGAAUAAACCUAUAAGACGAGAAGACCCUAUGGAGCUUAAAACAACAUAGCACUUGCCACAUAACACAAAAAUUUCUGAAUACCCCAAUUUUUCAAAGCAACAUGACUAUAAGUUUUUGGUUGGGGUGACCGCGGAGCAUAACACAACCUCCACGUUGAACGAACUUUAUUCUAAGCCACGAACCACUCUCCUAAGCAUCAAUACAUUGACAUUAAUUGACCCAAUAUAUUUGACCAACGAAC